UGGGGAACAUUGGACAAUGGGGGAAACCCUGAUCCAGCGACGCCGCGUGUGUGAAGAAGGCCUGCGGGUUGUAAAGCACUUUCGGUGGGAACGAAAUAUGCCGGGCUAAUACCCCGGUAGGCUGACGUUACUCAAUGAAGAAGCACCGGCUAACUCUGUGCCAGCAGCCGCGGUAAUACAGAGGGUGCGAGCGUUAAUCGGAAUUACUGGGCGUAAAGCGCACGUAGGUGGCGACGUAAGUCGGGUGUGAAAGCCCCGGGCUCAACCUGGGAACCGCAUUCGAGACUGCAUUGCUGGAGUACGGAAGAGGAGGGCGGAAUUCCCGGUGUAGCGGUGAAAUGCGUAGAUAUCGGGAGGAACAUCAGUGGCGAAGGCGGCCCUCUGGUCCAGUACUGACACUCAAGUGCGAAAGCGUGGGGAGCAAACAGGAUUAGAUACCCAAGUAGUCCCUGAGCGGGCUGGCAAGGCGCAU
rnacentral:rRNA from 1 species